CCUCCGUUUUUGAAUAGUUGUCGUUUUAGAGUUUUUUUUUUGUUUUAAAUUAGUUGUCGUUUUAAAGUAAUAAUGUAAUUUAUGCCAAUAACUACCCAAAUUACCUUCAUUUUAUUGAACACAAAUUAUUUGUAAAUAAUUACUUGUCAUUUUUAUGAGGUUAAUAUAGUUAUUGUAUACAUUUUCUUAAUUUGUCCAAAUACAGUUAAAACGACAACUUUUAAAAAACAGAGGGAGUAUU
rnacentral:lncRNA from 1 species